rnacentral:rRNA from 1 species
CACGUAGGGCGCAAGCGUUGUCCGGAAUUAUUGGGCGUAAAGAGCUCGUAGGCGGUCUGUCGCGUCGGCUGUGAAAACACGGGGCUCAACUCCGUGCCUGCAGUCGAUACGGGCAGACUAGAGUUCGGUAGGGGAGACUGGAAUUCCUGGUGUAGCGGUGAAAUGCGCAGAUAUCAGGAGGAACACCGGUGGCGAAGGCGGGUCUCUGGGCCGUAACUGACGCUGAGGAGCGAAAGCAUGGGGAGCGAACAGG